rnacentral:rRNA from 1 species
CCUACGGGAGGCAGCAGUAGGGGAUAUUCCACAAUGGGCGGAACCCUGAUGCAGCGACGCCGCGUGGGUGAAGAAGCGCCUCGGCGCGUAAAGCCCUGUCAGCAGGGAAGAAAAUGCGGGUGCCUGAAGAAGCAGCCCCGGCUAAACACGUGCCAGCAGCCGCGGUAAUACGUAGGGGGCACGCGUUAGCCGGAUUUACUGGGCGUAAAGGGGGCGCAGACGGCGAUGCAAGCCAGGAGUGAAAGCCCGGGGCCCAACCGCGGGACUGCUCUUGGAACUGGGUGGCUGGAGUGCAGGAGGGGCAGGUGGAAUUCCUGGUGUAGCGGUGAAAUGCGUAGAUAUCAGGAGGAACACCGGUGGCGAAGGCGGCCUGCUGGACUGCAACUGACGUUGAGGUCCGAAAGCGUGGGGAGCAAACAGGAUUAGAUACCCGAGUAGUC